GCAUAUCAAUAAGCGGAGGAAAAGAAACCAACAGGGAUUGCCUUAGUAGCGGCGAGUGAGCGGCAAAAGCUCAAAUUUGAAAUCUGGCACUUUCAGUGUCCGAGUUGUAAUUUGAAGAAGGUAUCUUUGGGUCUGGCUCUUGUCUAUGUUUCUUGGAACAGAACGUCACAGAGGGUGAGAAUCCCGUGCGAUGAGAUGUCCCAGACCUAUGUAAAGUUCCUUCGAAGAGUCGAGUUGUUUGGGAAUGCAGCUCUAAGUGGGUGGUAAAUUCCAUCUAAAGCUAAAUAUUGGCGAGAGACCGAUAGCGAACAAGUACAGUGAUGGAAAGAUGAAAAGAACUUUGAAAAGAGAGUGAAAAAGUACGUGAAAUUGUUGAAAGGGAAGGGCUUGAGAUCAGACUUGGUAUUUUGUAUGUUACUCUCUCGGGGGUGGCCUCUACAGUUUACCGGGCCAGCAUCAGUUUGAGCGGUAGGAUAAGUGCAAAGAAAUGUGGCACUGCUUCGGUAGUGUGUUAUAGUCUUUGUCGAUACUGCCAGCUUAGACUGAGGACUGCGGCUUCGGCCUAGGAUGUUGGCAUAAUGAUCUUAAGUCGCCCGUCUUGAAACACGGACC
rnacentral:rRNA from 1 species